GAUGAACGCUGGCGGCGUGCCUAAUACAUGCAAGUCGAGCGAACAGAUAAGGAGCUUGCUCCUUUGACGUUAGCGGCGGACGGGUGAGUAACACGUGGGUAACCUACCUAUAAGACUGGGAUAACUUCGGGAAACCGGAGCUAAUACCGGAUAACAUUUGGAACCGCAUGGUUCUAAAGUGAAAGAUGGUUUUGCUAUCACUUAUAGAUGGACCCGCGCCGUAUUAGCUAGUUGGUAAGGUAACGGCUUACCAAGGCAACGAUACGUAGCCGACCUGAGAGGGUGAACGGCCACACUGGAACUGAGACACGGUCCAGACUCCUACGGGAGGCAGCAGUAGGGAAUCUUCCGCAAUGGGCGAAAGCCUGACGGAGCAACGCCGCGUGAGUGAUGAAGGGUUUCGGCUCGUAAAACUCUGUUAUUAGGGAAGAACAAAUGUGUAAGUAACUGUGCACGUCUUGACGGUACCUAAUCAGAAAGCCACGGCUAACUACGUG
rnacentral:rRNA from 1 species